rnacentral:ncRNA from 2 species
GUGAGGGGGCACGGGAGCCCGGACAGGCGGGCUGAGAGGGAAAAUUCUCCGACCGUUAUACCUGAACCAGAUCAUGCUGGCGUAGGAACGCGGUUUAGUCGUGCGC